GACGUAGGGCGCGAGCGUUGUCCGGAUUUAUUGGGCCUAAAGCAUCCGUAGCCGGUUCUACAAGUCUUCCGUUAAAUCCACCUGCUUAACAGAUGGGCUGCGGAAGAUACUAUAGAGCUAGGAGGCGGGAGAGGCAAGCGGUACUCGAUGGGUAGGGGUAAAAUCCGUUGAUCCAUUGAAGACCACCAGUGGCGAAGGCGGCUUGCCAGAACGCGCUCGACGGUGAGGGAUGAAAGCUGGGGGAGCAAACCGG
rnacentral:rRNA from 1 species